UUUUCCUACGGGAGGCAGCAGUGAGGAAUAUUGGUCAAUGGGCUUACGCCUGAACCAGCCAAGUCGCGUGAGGGAAGACUGCCCUAUGGGUUGUAAACCUCUUUUGUCAGGGAGCAACGCCGGCUACGUGUAGCCGGACUGAGAGUACCUGAAGAAAAAGCAUCGGCUAACUCCGUGCCAGCAGCCGCGGUAAUACGGAGGAUGCGAGCGUUAUCCGGAUUUAUUGGGUUUAAAGGGUGCGUAGGCGGAAUAUCAAGUCAGCGGUAAAAAUUCGGGGCUCAACCCCGUCGUGCCGUUGAAACUGA
rnacentral:rRNA from 1 species